UAACCCCAAAAAACUAUAGUUUUCCAAAUCCUAUAUUUUUAUCAACACACUUAACCAUAAACCCAAAACUUAUGCUCAAAAACCCUUAACCUUAAAUUUAAAACCUUUAUAAUUCAUGUAUAGAAAUUAAAUCAUAGAUCAUUCACCCAAAAUAUAGCCAUUGAAUAUCUAUAAAACCAAGAUGUAAAACUAUUUAGUAUUUACAUAUAAAUCAGUCUUUCCAAAAACUAUAUACUUACAAAAUUUAUUAAACUUAGUCAUUUUAAAACCUAAAAAAAAAUAUUUUUAAAUCUAAAUCAAGUCUAAUAUUCUUCUAAAUUUCAAAACCCCAAGUCCCAAAUCAUAAAUUUCAAAUGUCAUUUCCUGAAUUAUGAACCCAGAAUUGCAAAGUAUAUAUGUUUUGAUCCAACAAAUUACUCUUUAAAUAAUGAAAGCUUUUUAUUGGAUGAUAUGUAAACACAUGGAUUACACUAUCAACCGUUGAUUAAUUUAAUCCAACGGACAAGGUUUUUUCCAGCUCUUGUUUCUCUUUCGUCUCCUUCACGAGGGAUUGAUUAACUUUCUCCCCUUCUCUUCUUUAGCCGAUUAACUUUCUCUCCUCCGCCCGCUGUUUCAUUCUAUUCGAUCUUCAUCUUGUCGUUGUUUUCAUCCUCUCAAGUUUUUAGAUCUGGUACCAGAGCAUUUUUGCGGAUCUCAGAUCUCGUAAUUACUCACGCUCUGGAGUAGCCUUCAUUCACUGUCGAAUCCCUGAACAUGAGGAACCUACCCGUAAAGACUACUUCCGAGAACGAACCAAAUUACUUGAUGCUGACCGCUCUGAAUACAACACACCGUCGAAGUGACUCAGGGUUUGGUGGGGCUUCAUCAUACGGAAGCUCAUGUAGUCAUACAUCAAGCAUGAAAAAGGAUAGUGAUGGCAAUGACUCUCCAAGGAAGCUAGAUUUGGAUGGUUUGACUCCUUUCGAGAAGAAUUUCUAUGUCGAAUCGCAGGCUGUGGCGGCUAUGACUGAGGCAGAAGUUGAAGAGUAUCGUAAGCUGAGGGAAAUUACUGUUGUUGAGAUAUUACCAAACCUGUCAAGAGUUUUCGUGAUGUUGGCUUUCCUGAUUAUGUUUUGGAAGAGAUUAAGAAGGCUGGUUUAACUGAACCUACUACGCCUAUACAAUCUCAGGGCUAGCCAAUGGCAAUGAAGGGACGUGAUCUUAUUAGCAUUGCUGAAACUGGCUCUGGAAAGACUCUUUCCUACUUAUUACCUUCAAUCGUCCAUGUCAAUGCCCAACCAAUUAUAGAUUAAAAUGGACACUAUUGAAGUCAGUAACCUGAAUAGGCAAUAUCUAUUUCGUCCUUCUCAUGUUGGGCGCUCCAGGGCUAAGGUAUAUUUGCUUGAGCUAAGUCCAAGGGAAUCCAGUUCAUAAGAGAAUUCAUGUGACCAUAUAGACUCACAGUUGUUAACCAAAGUUGUUUGGGUUUAUUAAAUCGAGUUUAGGAGGUAUAUGUGAGCAACCUGAGCUCAUUCUCCCUCGCUUCAAGGCAAUCUGAGCUCAUUCUCCCUCGCCUUAAGUUCCUUAAGAAAUGCUUCCAUCAGCUCAGCUUCCUUUCUCCUUGUCUCGGUCUUUGCAGUUUGCUUCAGGUCAAAAUCUUCAACAUUCAUCUCAAAAGCAAAAGACUUCUUGGGAAAGCAAAGCAACCUCCUUCUCCGUCGCUUCAAACAUUAACCCUUGAUGUUUGUGCAUUUCCAAUAUUUACUUUCUUUUUUUAGUAGUAUGAUGUAUUCUUUGUAUUCUUAUUUUUAACUAUGUUUUUAGUUUUA